UUGAAUUUUAAUGAAGAGUUUGGUUGUAGCUGGCCCAUUCAUUUGGGCAUGUGCACACCUUCCUCUUUCAUCCCACACACACCUGUGAACCUGUGAGACAGAGAUGGGGAAUUUACUUGCUGCUUUUUGGAAUACAAAGGCAAUAGGUUAUUGGACCCCCCCUCCGUCUACUCAAUUAAUAUAAACUCAAUUUAUUUUUAAAAACGAAUGUAAUGGAUGUAACACAUCUCAUAC
rnacentral:misc_RNA from 1 species